GCACUAGUGGUGUAUGGAACACACGCCGAUCUGAUAGAGAGGCCCCUGGGUUGCGGUGGGAAGGGGUUCGAUUCCCCGCUGGUGCA